ACAGCCACAUCAUGUUGAAACACGGGUUCCUGUCGGAUUACCAAAGUUAAGCAAUGUUGAUUUUGGUCUGUACCUAGAUGGGUGACCACUUGGAAAUACCAGGUGCUGUAA